AAAGAUGCCCUCUCUUUUGCAAUGGUGAAGAAGAAGAAAGAAUGAAGCACCUAAUACUCAAAUUGCUAGCAUGAUAAUGGUGUGGCUGGACACCAUCUGAGGGACUUGACCCCAGGGAGGAUAAUCUUGUGAUCACUAAGUCCCAGCAAAUUAGAUGUUGCUAAUCUUAUAUUGUGAUUAAAGACAUGAGAGUGCAAAGUUUCAUUCUCAAGUCGUUAGCCUGUAAACAUAAAGAGGGUCAGAAGUUUUAUCCUCAGACUGCAUCAGCAUCAAUAUGUAUUCCACAAAGUAUGGUCACUAUAAUUUAGACAAAAGCA
rnacentral:lncRNA from 1 species